ACCACCCUCCAAGCCUAAGUACUCCUCAGUGACCGAUAGUGCACCAGUACCGUGAGGGAAAGGUGAAAAGCACCCCGACGAGGGGAGUGAAACAGCUCCUGAAACCGGAUGCCUACAAGCAGUCGGAGCGGCCUUGUGCCGUGACGGCGUACCUUUUGUAUAAUGGGUCAGCGACUUGGAGUCUGCAGCGAGCUUAAGCCGGUAGGCGAAGGCGCAGCGAAAGCGAGUCUGAACAGGGCGUCAGAGUUGCAGGCUUCAGACCCGAAACCCGGUGAUCUAGCCAUGGACAGGUUGAAGGUGCGGUAACACGCACUGGAGGACCGAACCCACGCCUGUUGAAAAAGUCGGGGAUGAUCUGUGGCUAGGGGUGAAAGGCCAAUCAAACCGGGAAAUAGCUGGUUCUCCGCGAAAGCUAUUUAGGUAGCGCGUCGCGUGAUUGCCUGCGGGGGUAGAGCACUGGAUGGGCUAGGGGGGCGCGAGCCUUACCAAACCUAACCAAACUCCGAAUACCGCAGAGCACAGCGCGGCAGACAGACGGUGGGUGCUAAGGUCCAUCGUCGAGAGGGAAACAGCCCAGACCGCCAGCUAAGGCCCCCAAAUCACGGCUAAGUGGGAAAGGAUGUGGGAAGGCCAUGACAACCAGGAGGUUGGCUUAGAAGCAGCCAUCCUUUAAAGAAAGCGUAAUAGCUCACUGGUCUAGUUAAGCCGGCCUGCGCCGAAAAUGUAUCGGGGCUCAAGCCGUGUGCCGAAGCUGCGGAUGUAUCGCAAGAUACGUGGUAGCGGAGCGUUCCGUAAGCCUGCGAAGGGCGUCCGUGAGGCCGCCUGGAGGUAUCGGAAGUGAGAAUGCUGACAUGAGUAGCGACAAACAGUGUGAGAAACACUGUCGCCGAAAGUCCAAGGGUUCCUGCGCAAGGUUAAUCCACGCAGGGUGAGCCGGCCCCUAAGGCGAGGCCGAGAGGCGUAGUCGAUGGGAACCAGGUUAAUAGUCCUGGGCCAGCGGGUGUGUGACGAAUGGGUAAGCGUGUACGUCCUUAUCGGAUUGGACGUGCUGUGGCCCCGUUCCAGGAAACAGCCCCCGCAUGAGACCGUACCCGAAACCGACACAGGUGGACUGGUAGAGCAUACCCAGGCGCUUGAGAGAAUGGUGUUGAAGGAACUCGGCAAAUUGCCCUCGUAACUUCGGAAGAAGAGGGCCC
rnacentral:rRNA from 1 species